CGGCGAGGGAAAGAGGGAAAAAAGUGAUUUCGUGCACGACCGCACGCGUUUCAUUUCCAUUUGUUCUCCACGAGAAACGUUGUUAGACAUGUUUUCUGUCUUUUCCCAAGUCCUCAAGCUAACUAACGGGAUUGCCUUUUGGAGUGGCAACUGGGGCAACCGUCUCAGGCCCGGCGAUAGGAAAUUCUUGUGGUGCUAGCUGUCUACAUGCACUUUCGACUCUCGGCCCCGCAUAUGACGCUCGCGCAGGGCCCGGCAUACUGCUAGGGCUGCCUCUGCUUUGUGAUAUAUAUAUAUCAUCUUUUAUUUUAUGAACAUCACCCAAACUGCGCAACCUUUCAUCACGUGGUAUAUAUUUGCAAUUCGUCCUGUCUGAAUGAGCAUUUUAUGAUUCAAAAUUCUAGAGUACGUCAUUGUAAAUAACAGCCUAUCAGUAAACAAGACAGAUAUCCCUCAAUUUUAAAAAGCUUAUUCAAACGGUAAUUGUAAUAAGUAUCAGCUGUUUAAUAUCACUAACCAAGUGUUGUAUAUACUGAUUUUCCAGACAACGAGUUAGUUUAAGUGUAAAUUGCUAUACUGAACAAGUAAUUACAGCUGAUUAAUCCCUAUACCAGAAAGUCCCAGUUGAUACAGAGUAAUUUAAUUGUAGUUUAUUGUAUUAUAUGCGAUUUAUAUUUUGUUUUAUAGUAUAGAUCCAACAGAAAGCGAUACAAUACACUUCAAAAAUUAAUAUAAACCAAAUAAUUGAGCAUUCUACCCAUUGCUUAAAUCUCCCCAAGCUACCCAUAUAUAAUUUUUGUAGGGGUGGAUUUAUUUAAUUUAGAAAUCAUUUUGAUGAAUCGCAGAUGCAACUUACUGACCUACUGAAGGGCACCACACUUCUCAACCAUAUAAAAGAACAGUGACAGUCAUUCGAUCAAAUAAUUUCGAUUUGCAUGUCAUGUGGUAGCAUCAUUUUGCGACAUCUUCUCACAACUGCACACGUAUAGCUCUAGCAACUUUGUCAUAUAGUUUCAUCUGUGUUUUAAUGAGUGUAUGAUUGUAAUUAAAAUAAAUACAAAAGUAAUGAAACCAAAUAUAACAUCCACUUUUUGACUAGCAAACGUAAACAUGAGUAAAUUCCUGGUCACGCAUAAAAAAAUUACUACUUUCGUCUUGUUAACAAUUUUUAGCCUCCAUCAAUUUGCAAGUUGUUUUAUCUAUUUGUGAAAGUAGUCAAACCUUCCAUGUUUGCUUAUAUGCUUGCAUAUUGCUUAAGUACACUGCAAAAAAUGUAACAGCGAUAAACAAUUAAUCGCCUUGUCGGACUGCACUAAGACAACUUGUAGCCAGAUAAGGAGGAAUCGCUUCCUGGUUGAUGGGAUACUGUUCGUCAUAUUGCAGACUGCCAGGUGUACCGGCACGACAGUUCACCAAUCUUUGCCAUGUUGUCUUUGGGCCUGGUCCCCGAUAGCUCGUUUUUAUCAUGGUGAGUCGCCAUGAUACAUGCCUUAGCUGCAAUCCCUAUCGACGGUGACAAGCUGUACGUCUAGUUUGGGUGUCCUCACCCCCGCUUUCACUGUUAAUGUCACGCGUCCCCCGAGGUCGGUUUCCUUAGUGUCAUUCACUACCAUGGGGAAGAAAUUAGGUGAAUUGCCAGAGACAAACCUAGGGGCCCAGGUCCCUCCAUCGCACCCCAUGUGCAAGUGGUGCCGUCUCGGACUUUAAUUGUGUUGGCGAGGGUCAGAAGGCCUCCUCCUUUUGCUGUUUAUACUUUAUAGGUUUGAGGCCCACCACCACAUUCUCACUGCUGCCCCUGCAUCACUACACGCAAGGCAUCGCACUACCCCUGCUUCAGCCCCAAGGACUCCUUAUCGUUAUUAUUGUUUAUUCCAAGCAGUUUUGGUGAUGAAUUGCUUUUCGGUGUAUCUUCAAUCCACUGCGAAAACAUCAAAGUCAAAACACUUUGCAUUUGAAAAUCUGUCCAUGCUGAUGCGCUGCUGCUUAGGCAAAGAACAAAAGAGAGGACCUACCGCACGUUAUCGCGCGGCGAUGCCGGUGUUUGUCGCGUCGGUGGCCAGGCCCCGUUCAUCAGUUGUCGUCUACUCACCUCCCUUAUCUACAGUUGUCCAGAUUCUUCCCAUUCCAGGCCCCUCAUAAAUUUCACGUACCGAUCUUCCUCUUACUUCAGACCUUCCUGACCAUUAUGAUUGCGACACAUAAUUCGUCAUGCUUCUAACCAUGCACGCAGUUCGUGAAAAAUGUCUUAUUACUCAAAUUGUUAUGAUUUCUUGAAUACAACACUCAAAGCACUUGGGAUAGAGGUUUUUUUUUUAAAGUCUACCAUUUUAUAUGUGAAAGAGAUUACAAAUAAGCAAAAACAUGAGCAGUUUUAAUAUCAGAUUUAUUGUUAUCACAAAUGUGGUAAUCUCAUACAUUUUCUUAUUUGAAAAAAAAAUCCCUGGAAUCAAAACUUCUGGGGUUUCUUUAAAAAAGGCAGGAAGAGCUUUUGAAAAAGAAAAGUUUAGAAAGCAUUCAUUUGUUCAUUUUGUACACUACAUAUAUAUGGAUUUCAAGCAAAAUUAAAACAGUAAACUAUUAAAAUGCUGUGAAGGUAUAGCAAACAAAUUCUUUGACAGGGUGCGUCAUAUCACCCUAUCAAACCAAUGAAUAUACUUGUAAUUUAAGAACAAAAAAAUAAGACUUAACACUUCAUAAAAAUUACUGUAAACAGCUUUUGUAAGCGAAGUAUCUAUAAAAGUCUUUAUAAUCUAUAAAAGUCUUUAUGCAGUUUAGAACUUUAAAAAUUUCUAUGCAAUAAUGAAAAGUCACCAGGAUGUGGAAAUUAAAACAAACAUCAGUAUCUUGUAUCACUUUAAAACAUAGCAAAAAUGUAAAAUGAGAAACAUAAAAAAACCCCAGAAAAAUGGCUAGAGAGGGACCUCUUCUAAAUGUUCAAGCCAUGCAUCACCCUUUAAACCUUGACCUCACCUUUAAAAUAGAUCAGCUACUCAUUGCAAUUAAUUACUGGACUGUGCUGUGCAGCUAACUUGCAUGAAAACCAGCAUAGUCCUGGAAACAAUAUAUCUUCCUGUUUCUGCAAAAUUUUAUGUGACUUCAACAGGUCUGUUCCAGAAAAAUCAAAACAAUAAAUUGCAAGUUUUACAAGAAAUUACAUGAUACACAUUUUCUUGUCUAUGCAUUUUUACAAUCAUACAAAGAAUCAUCAAUACACCUGGGUACUUUGUCAUAAAUAAGAGUCACUGGCACUGCAUAAUCUCAUUAAAAACCAUUGCACAGAAAGUGUAAUAAGUGGACUGACACACAUAUAGUGUUACCAUUUGUUUUGGCUUAUGAAACUUGUAAGCAGCAGAUGUAUUCAAUAUGUAUAUAAAUGAAAUAAACCAGGCAGUCAGAAAUAUUACAUUCAACUUUUUCUAGUGUAAGAAAUAUUACAUUAAGUAUAUUUGAACGAAAAUACAUUUGGUUCUCAUUUUAUCUCUAACACGUUUUGUUUUGUAAAUUCAUUUCUAUUUUGUCACAGCUUAUUGAUUUACUGUAUUUCCCUGUUUGUUUUUUUGACGUUUCAACACUUCUGGUACUUAAGAAAAUUAUCCACUUAUAAUUUGUUGCUCAAGGAACAGAUUGCUACUGUUUUUCAAGCAGUUUUAACUCUUAGCUAUCAGGAUUUUGGAGGAUAGUACAAAGUGAGCUUUCUUUUAUGAUUUUUCGGCAGACUUGACUUGCUCCUUGGUGUGAGAUUUGCUCUUGUGGUCUGACUCCUAAAGACUUCAUGUUCAUGGAAUGACAAAGAGCAUGUCGAUGUUUUCUAUCAAACCUAUGGCUUGGUAAUGAUGUCUCAACCCCUCCCCUCAAAAAAAAAAAAAAAAAAAAAAAAAAAA